rnacentral:tRNA from 1 species
UUGUAGUUGUAGGAAGACGCCGAAAAAAUUUUGAAUUUUUGCAAUUUUCGAAAAAUCAGGGUUUUCA